rnacentral:rRNA from 1 species
GAUGAACGCUGGCGGCGUGCCUAAUACAUGCAAGUCGAGCGAACCACUUCGAUGGUGAGCGGCGAACGGGUGAGUAACACGUAGGUGAUCUGCCCAUCAGACGGGGACAACGAUUGGAAACGAUCGCUAAUACCGGAUAGGACGAAAGUUUAAAGGUGCUUCUGGCACCGCUGAUGGAUGAGCCUGCGGCGCAUUAGCUAGUUGGUAGGGUAAAGGCCUACCAAGGCGACGAUGCGUAGCCGACCUGAGAGGGUGAACGGCCACACUGGGACUGAGACACGGCCCAGACUCCUACGGGAGGCAGCAGUAGGGAAUUUUCGGCAAUGGGCGAAAGCCUGACCGAGCAACGCCGCGUGAAUGAUGAAGGCCUUCGGGUUGUAAAAUUCUGUUAUAAGGGAAGAACGACUUUAGUAGGAAAUGGCUAGAGUGUGACGGUACCUUAUGAGAAAGCCACGGCUAACUACGUGCCAGCAGCCGCCGUAA